AAACUUACCUGGCUAGUGUUGGGCGGAGAUCCAGCAGCUCGCUCUCAUAGGGUCGAGCAGUUCACUGCACUCUGAGGCCUGUAACGCCUUAGGAGUCUCCGAUGGAGUCAUCCAUAGCAGAAUUUGUUGAGAGGCAACUAGCUUGUGAGCUGCUGCCAA
rfam:Symbiodinium microadriaticum strain CCMP2467 Smic.scaffold699, whole genome shotgun sequence.